rnacentral:rRNA from 1 species
GAAUGCUGACAUAAGUAACGAUAAAGCGGGUGAAAAGCCCGCUCGCCGGAAGACCAAGGGUUCCUGUCCAACGUUAAUCGGGGCAGGGUGAGUCGACCCCUAAGGCGAGGCCGAAAGGCGUAGUCGAUGGGAAACAGGUUAAUAUUCCUGUACUUGGUGUUACUGCGAAGGGGGGACGGAGAAGGCUAUGUUGGCCGGGCGACGGUUGUCCCGGUUUAAGCGUGUAGGCUGGUUUUCCAGGCAAAUCCGGAAAACCAAGGCUGAGGCGUGAUGACGAGGCACUACGGUGCUGAAGCGACAAAUGCCCUGCUUCCAGGAAAAGCCUCUAAGCAUCAGGUAACAUCAAAUCGUACCCCAAACCGACACAGGUGGUCAGGUAGAGAAUACCAAGGCGCUUGAGAGAACUCGGGUGAAGGAACUAGGCAAAAUGGUGCCGUAACUUCGGGAGAAGGCACGCUGAUAUGUAGGUGAAGCGACUUGCUCGUGGAGCUGAAAUCAGUCGAAGAUACCAGCUGGCUGCAACUGUUUAUUAAAAACACAGCACUGUGCAAACACGAAAGUGGACGUAUACGGUGUGACGCCUGCCCGGUGCCGGAAG